GAGUCGGACCUGCCCAGUGAAUAAAUUUUUAACGGCCGCGGUACUCUGACCGUGCAAAGGUAGCAUAAUCAUUUGCCCUAUAAUUGAGGGCUAGUAUGAAUGGUUUGACGUGAACAAGACUGUCUCUGCAUAAUUUCCUAGAACUUGAUUUCUAGGUGAAGAAACCUAGAUAUUAUUGAUAGACAAGAAGACCCUAUUGAGCUUUAAAAAAGUAGGUUGAGAGUAAUAUAUUACUUUAAAUAUUAAUCUAUCUAAAAUUUUGGUUGGGGCGACUAUGGAACAAACAAAGCUUCUUUAUCUAUAUAAAACCCACAAGUUUUGAUCCAAGCAUUUUGAUUAAUGAAAUUAGUUACCAUAGGGAUAACAGCAUAAUUCUCUUUGAGAGCUCUUAUCGAAAAGAGAGUUUGUGACCUCGAUGUUGGACUAGAAUAUCCUAAAGAUGCAGCAGUCUUUAAGGGUUNGUC
rnacentral:rRNA from 1 species